ensembl:rRNA 5S_rRNA 5S ribosomal RNA
CCAAGCACCACUGGAUCUCACCUCAUGCUGUGAUUUCAUGAUAUCUCACCAGCUAAACAGGGUUGGGCCUGAGAGGUACUUGAAUGGGAGACCCUGCUGAAGGAAAUCCAGGUGGUGCAGGAA